AGGAUAAACGCUGGCGGCGUGCCUAACACAUGCAAGUCGAACGCGCUUUCGGGCUUCGGUGCGAGAGCGAGUGGCGGACGGGUGAGUAACACAUGGGUACCUGCCUUUCAGUGAGGGAUACCGGCGAGAAAUCGCCGACAAUACCGCAUGGGCUUGUGGGAACACAAGCAAAGUGGCGCAAGCCACGCUGGAAGAUGGGCCUGUGGCCGAUUAGCUAGUUGGGGGGUAACGGCCUCCCAAGGCGACGAUCGGUAGCUGGUCUGAGAGGACGAUCAGCCACACUGGGAUUGAGAACGGCCCAGACUCCUACGGGGGGCAGCAGUGAGGAAUUUUCCGCAAUGGACGAAAGUCUGACGGAGCAACGCCGCGUGCAGGAGGAAGGUUUUCGGAUCGUAAACUGCUUUUCUCGGGGACGAGCAAGGACGGUACCCGAGGAAGAAGCCCGGCUAACUACGUGCCAGCAGCCGC
rnacentral:rRNA from 1 species